rnacentral:lncRNA from 1 species
CUCAGAGGGUGGCAUGGUCCUGGCACUGUUUCCCAGGACACAACUCUGGGCAGCUAUCACCUUCCAUCAUCCAACCCCAGCGCUUGAGGUGGCAGAGGGAGAGCUGCCCCAUGCCUUGCUCAAAGGGGAGCGGCCUCGUUGCACUCCUCCAGCCCCUCACUACUGCCCUCCCCAAGUCACUGACCGCAGUGGGAGGCCCCACAGAGAGCUGGUCAACAGCAGGGUCAAGGUCCAGGCAGGGGGAGCUCAGAGGCAUCGGGCAGCUGAGCUGUGCCCCACACAGCACCAUGAAGCUGGGGCUGCUCUGCGCCCUCGCCAUGGCCCUCCUGGCCAUGGCCAUGGCUGACCUCAAAGACUCCAAGAAGGGAAAAAUGCUCACAUGGAACAGAGAGGUUGGUGGUGGGUGAAGGGAAGGGUUCAAAGAUGGCAAAUAACGGUCAGGAAGGGAGGGAGACUGUGGGGAAGUGUUGUGAGGAGGGGGGCGGCACCAAAUGUGGCACAGCAUUGCAGGAAGCAAGCCCCCCACACCGUCCCCCAAGGGGCACCAUCUGCUGUCACCAGUACCCUGCACUGGGCAGGUGAGGGCCCUGGAAAGCUGCUGUCUCCAUCCCAGUGCCCUGUGCUGCUCUGGGCAGGGGUGGCCCAGAGGAAGGGCUAGGGAGAACGAGGUGUGGCCAAGCCCUUCACUCCGAGGGGCUGUGCUAUGGGGGGAGCCCUGGGGCAUCCCGGGGCUCUUUGCUCCCCAAAGCACUGUGACCACUUGCACAACUAGCAAACAUUUCAUCAGGGCUUGGCAAGGGGCUGAGAAGGGGGAGGAGGGCUGCUGUCUCGGGUCCAGAAAGGUGCCAUCCCCUCCACCUCCUCCCCAUCCUCCCUCCACCAUCCCACUUGCUGCCGUACACCUCAGCUCUGC